CACUGCAGUCGAGCGGUAGAGAGAAGCUUGCUUCUCUUGAGAGCGGCGGACGGGUGAGUAAUGCCUAGGAAUCUGCCUGGUAGUGGGGGAUAACGUUCGGAAACGGACGCUAAUACCGCAUACGUCCUACGGGAGAAAGCAGGGGACCUUCGGGCCUUGCGCUAUCAGAUGAGCCUAGGUCGGAUUAGCUAGUUGGUGAGGUAAUGGCUCACCAAGGCGACGAUCCGUAACUGGUCUGAGAGGAUGAUCAGUCACACUGGAACUGAGACACGGUCCAGACUCCUACGGGAGGCAGCAGUGGGGAAUAUUGGACAAUGGGCGAAAGCCUGAUCCAGCCAUGCCGCGUGUGUGAAGAAGGUCUUCGGAUUGUAAAGCACUUUAAGUUGGGAGGAAGGGCAGUUGCCUAAUACGUAACUGUUUUGACGUUACCGACAGAAUAAGCACCGGCUAACUCUGUGCCAGCAGCGCGGUAAUACAGAGGGUGCAAGCGUUAAUCGGAAUUACUGGGCGUAAAGCGCGCGUAGGUGGUUUGUUA
rnacentral:rRNA from 1 species